UACAGAGGGUGCGAGCGUUAAUCGGAAUUACUGGGCGUAAAGCGUGCGUAGACGGCUAUCUAAGUCGGGUGUGAAAGCCCCGGGCUCAACCUGGGAAUUGCAUUCGAGACUGAAUAGCUAGGGUACGGUAGAGGGAAGCGGAAUUUCCGGUGUAGUGGUGAAAUGCGUAGAGAUCGGCAGGAACACCCAGGGAGAAAUCAGCCGCCUGGGCAAGUGCUGACGCUGAGGUGCGAAAGCGUGGGGAGCGAACCGG
rnacentral:rRNA from 1 species